AGAGUUUGAUCCUGGCUCAGGACGAACGCUGGCUGCGUGCUUAACACAUGCAAGUCGAACGCUGAAGCCUGGUGCUUGCACCGGGUGGAUGAGUGGCGAACGGGUGAGUAACACGUGAGUAACCUGCCCCUGACUUCGGGAUAAGCCCGGGAAACUGGGUCUAAUACCGGAUACGACUGCCGGACGCAUGUCUGGUGGUGGAAAGUUUUUUCGGUUGGGGAUGGGCUCGCGGCCUAUCAGUUUGUUGGUGAGGUAAUGGCUCACCAAGACGACGACGGGUAGCCGGCCUGAGAGGGCGACCGGCCACACUGGGACUGAGACACGGCCCAGACUCCUACGGGAGGCAGCAGUGGGGAAUAUUGCACAAUGGGGGAAACCCUGAUGCAGCGACGCAGCGUGCGGGAUGACGGCCUUCGGGUUGUAAACCGCUUUCAGCAGGGAAGAAGCGCAAGUGACGGUACCUGCAGAAGAAGUACCGGCUAACUACGUGCCAGCAGCCGCGGUAAUACGUAGGGUACGAGCGUUGUCCGGAAUUAUUGGGCGUAAAGAGCUCGUAGGUGGUUGGUCACGUCUGCUGUGGAAACGCAACGCUUAACGUUGCGCGUGCAGUGGGUACGGGCUGACUAGAGUGCAGUAGGGGAGUCUGGAAUUCCUGGUGUAGCGGUGAAAUGCGCAGAUAUCAGGAGGAACACCGGUGGCGAAGGCGGGACUCUGGGCUGUAACUGACACUGAGGAGCGAAAGCAUGGGGAGCGAACAGGAUUAGAUACCCUGGUAGUCCAUGCCGUAAACGUUGGGCACU
rnacentral:rRNA from 1 species